rnacentral:rRNA from 1 species
CGCGCAGGCGGUCGAUCAAGUCGAGUGUGAAAGCCCCCGGCUCAACUGGGGAGGGUCAUUCGAUACUGAUCGACUCGAAGGCAGGAGAGGGUAGUGGAAUUCCCGGUGUAGUGGUGGAAUGCGUAGAUAUCGGGAGGAACGACCAGUGGCGAAGGCGACUACCUGGCCUGUUCUUGACGCUGAGGCGCGAAGCUAGGGGAGCAACG